UUGGUCUUCCUGAGAGUGCCAUCAGAGAUGUGCUGCAGGCUGCGGUCAUCUGGAGCCACACGAUGUGUGUGGUGGCCAAUCCUGUUACAGACUCCGUGGCAGCCCGGUGUCCCUCCCUUGAGUACCUAUGUGUCUCUGAGCACUGGGCACACAGCAGUGAACAAGACAGGCAAUUCGCCUCAAGCAUCCAUUCAAGAAGGGGAAACAGAGAGGGUGAACAAAAUGCGCUCCCGAGCUGGUGUCUGAGAGCGCUUUCAGGAAACAAUGAAGUGCCCGUACACUUGCAGUCCCAAUUACCCACAAUUCUGUGAUUCUCAGAGAAGUGGUACCUGGAAGGAGGAAGAAGCAUCCAGAAAGUUGUCAGAGGGAUGAGAAGCGCUGCUUUCCAGUUCAUCAGACUCUUUGUCUGCACUUACCUCUAAGUUUUCAAACUGUCUCCCAAAUCCUCGGGCAGGGAGUGGCAGGAGAAAAGGAAGAACUCUUCUUCUACACACAAACGGCUGCCUCGUGUCCCUUGGGGGAGACCCUUCCCUUCCUCCUGGAAUGCUCUCCAGCAAUGAAUGAGGGACUGAAAUGGUGCCCAGGACAAAAGCUCCGCUCUGCCCUUUCGUGGUGCGCCCUCUGCAGAGUUUCCAGACAGAUAACUCGAUCUUGAAUGGAAAGAGAAACUCGGAACAAACUGAUGACAAUAAGUCUAAUGCCACGACAAAGCAAACUUAGUACUGGGAUAAAGGCACAUUUGCAUACCUUGCUUUGAGAUUUUUGCUUUCCUGGGCUGGAACUUGAUAAUUCUCUCAACCAUCCAGUGAGGUUGGUAUCACUCUGUGUGCUUUAUGAAGGGCAAGUUGAGGUUCCCCAUGAAGGCGUCAUCCACAGCGUGUUGUUGCACCCGCUGCUGGUCUAGCAGCCUCCUGGAGCUUAGGCCACGGUGGUUUUCUUCGAUGCUUCCAGGGACCCAUGGUACGAGGGGCCUCCAGAACAUUCCCGGACAGUGGGAUUAAAAGGCGCAUAGCACAGCACCACACUGCAGUUCUGGCCUUGGAUGCAGGCAGACCUGACCACAUCCCUUACAAGCCUGACCUUGAACGAGUGGCCUCCGCCCAGCGCUGUCAACCUCAGCUCUCACCUGUAAAACAGGGAAGUAAGAAUUCACUCAAUUGGACACCAGAUUAUUGUCAAACUGUUUCAUAUGCCUAUCUCGCAGGCAGACCACAGAGAGGGGGUGGCCCCUAAACUGCUAGUCCUGGAUCUUUCAGUCCUGAGCACCUUAGGAAGAAGAGUAAAGAUCAAAACAAGAACAGACAGAAGCCCAGCCUGCUUGUGUUCAGAACUCCGUUACAGAGCAGACAGCUGGGUGUGAGCGCUGGCUUGCUCACAACUUCACAUGGGCCCCAGCCAAAGAAGCAUGUUCUUCCCUAGUGAGCUCAUCUUAGGACCACACAACGGCCUCUUAUCCUUGGCUUCCCUCUUUGCUAUAUAAUUUUGCCAUUCCCUGUAUUGAAAGGUAGACUCCAUUCCUCCAGCCUCAGAUCUGGACUUGCUUUGGCCAACAGGUAAAAAGUGAUGUGACUGAAGACUUGGACAUUUCUGUGCACUGAGACUUACCCAGCACUGGAGCUUUGGACGUGGACAACACCUUGUGAAUGAUCUUCAGCUGUCUGUUGGACAGGUCACUUGGAGGAGAACUGAGACCCUCAGAGGAACGUUUGGAGCCACUUUGUUACCAUCAUAGUUCCUGGCAUACAGCAGAGUCUCGUGCAGCAAACACAAAAAUCCCAAGCAGUAGAAAAGAUCCUUGAUGACCAGCAAGGCCCCAUGAAGAAGGACAGCAGGAAUAAAAGCCAUGGGAGGCCUUCUUUAAUGUAGCAGGUGGCUGGAGACAGGCAAGCCUGGCUCCUACACUCUGCUCAAGCUGUCUUUCCCCGGAGAGAGUCUCCUGAUUACAUUCCUGUAAAAAAGAGAAGAAAAGAUAACCUAAAAUGGAUAUGUUACAGUUCUGCCGUGUGUACAGUAACCGCUCUCGAAGCAUGUGCAAGCAUACGGAGGUCCGGAAACCUUUUGAGAAUCUGAUGAAAGCCUGGGCUUUGCACAUAGGUGUACACAGAAACGUGCACAUUCAUUCCAGCGGCUCCGAGAGGCUCUGAUCUUCAUUCCCGAACCUCCGAGGAGUCUGCGGCUGCCAGAUUCCUGGGCUUUGAGCGCAGGCAGCUGCUACUCUUUAACUUUUUCACUAUAUUCAGAUCAACUUCUAACGUGAAAAGAAAGGCCUGUGGAUUCUGAAGGAAGCAGUCACACUGGAACACCAGCAUUUUACUGGAAAAACGUCCUUCCAAAUUUUGGAGAAAAUGGCUUCAGUGUAUAGCUCAUUCUGGUAAAGACUCCCCGCACAGCUCUUCCGACAGAUUGCUGCAGAUCAUGGGGUGUGUCACUGCGCAUCAUUUCUUUGGAAGCUCACUCUCCUGGCACUGUUGCCAGCAUUUAUGACUGGGGGCAGGGGUUGGUCAGCAAUGAAAGAACAAACACGGAAUUCUCAGACCCUUGAAUGGCAGCUUGACUGUCUCCAAGGACUUCGUCUGGAGGAGUGACACAAAGGUAGACAUUUCUCCCUCUGAUGUCCACUGAGCCAUGACUGAAAAAGCUGGAAUUGUUUAAGGUGGCUCCCUGGACCCUGUGAGGAUCUCUGUGACAUCAUUCACUGGUGCUUCUCUGUUGGGCGACUGCUGAACAUCAUCGCUUUCUUCCAACCCCACUGGGUGUGGAGCAGUCAUUUAGGGAGCCCGGCUGAGCUACAGCAAGCGUAUAAUUGACGUAUGUCUUAAGGAUAGUUACACUACAAGCAAUUUGACUCAACUCCUGUACACAUUUUUAAAAUUAAUUUAUUUAUUUGAAAUAGAGGGAGGGAGAAACAGAGAAAUAAAUCUUCCAUCUGAAACCAGGAGCCAGGCACUUCUUCCAGGUCUCCUACUUCAGUCCUGAGGCCCAAGGACUUGGGCCAUCUUCUACUGCUUUCCCAGGCCAUAGCAGAGAGCUGGAUCGGAAGUGGAGCGUCCCCAUGGAAU